AUGAGCAAGAGCGGGGAACUUAGUAACAGACUCACCAAUAUGCUACUCUGCGCACAUAUGCUAGUUAUUUCUAUGUAUUUUCUUUUGCAUUUAAAAAAGUAUAGCUUCGCUCCUCGACUUGAUUUAUCCACAAUGUGUGUUGAAUCACGGCAGUUACGUCAUAUGACGCAAACUCAGCUCUUGCUCCUUUCGGGAUCAACAGGUCAGCAAUAACGCAAUAAAUGAACCUGCAUAUCUGGAUUGUUAUUGCUUCAGGUAAUUCAAAUUUGAAGCAGUCAGUGAGUCAAACUGAGCCAAUAUCUUCUGGCAACCACUCGGUGGCCUUAAAUUGAGGAUCUGAAUGGUUUGCUGAUCACCCACUGCAAUUUCUACAAGAUGUGGCGGCAUCUCAGCUGGAUAAGAGACCGAUGUGCAAUACAUCUUCUUUAGUGGGAUAUCUGGCAACAAUAUUGACAAACUCAAGUCCCCAUAUUAGAAAGAGUCAGCUGUUGGAUCGUGGGCUCAAGUGUUAGUGUGAAUGGUGCCUGAAGUGUUCCAGUGAUCUGGUGAAUGUGGCUCACCACUGGCUGUAGAGGACGGAAAAUGAGCCUCAAAUACAAACUACCCCACACAUCUCCGGAAAGUAGGAUUUGGGAGAGCAAAUUGCAUCUUCAGCCGUCAUCGACAGACUCCAUUAUUUUGGAAAACAGUUUCUGGCAUCCGACAUCAUGGAUUAGGUGUGAAGAAUAAUUAGCGGGUACUGAAGAGCCCCGUGUGGACUGGAGAUGCAUAGGAGUGUGGUCACUCUCCUCAGCACCAAAUGUCUGUGGUAACACAGCAGGCAGCAGGACACACUGUGUACGUAAUGUAUUUGCGUGGUCACUCAACAGAGCACAUUUAUGCUCAUGUCUGUUCUUUGCCACUUUGUCCAGAAAUGACAAACCACCCAGUUGGAAAGCACCAUUUUGUGACCAAUAAAGACAUACAGCAUAGAAAAAGGCAAACUGUCUUAAAAGAGAAGCAACUCAAUAAGUAAUUUAUGAAAAAAAGGCAAACCUCAAACAUGGCGCAAAUGAGUUUGCUCAUCUCAUGUCUGAUUGCUGCAGUUGAAUAUCGUUAUUAACAAUGAAAUGACCACUUGGAUGAAAAGAUACAAUUUGCAGGAGGAUCUAACAACGACUCAUCAUGUAACUUGUUUGAGGUGGUCAGAUGAAUUUUAUUUCAGAAAACUUGGAAAUGAUAAACACUGAAUUAAUUCUUAAUUCUAA